CGCCUGUUUAUCAAAAACAUCUCUUCUCGUUAGUUUUUGAAGUAUGGCCUGCCCACUGACCUUGAAUGUUGAAGGGCCGCGGUAUUUUGACCGUGCAAAGGUAGCAUAGUCAUUAGUUCUUUAAUUGUGAUCUGGUAUGAAUGGCUUGACGAGGCAUAAGCUGUCUUAAUUUUGAAUUGUUUAUUGAAUUUGGUCUUUGAGUUAAAAUUCUUAGAUGUUUUUAUGGGACGAGAAGACCCUAUAGAGUUUGACAUUUAUUCACGGUCUCUUUCUGUUUGUGAGGGUUCACUAGGGCUGUUUAAUAUGUUUUGUUGGGGUGAUGGGAGGGAUAUUAUUUAACCCCUCCUUUUUGUUGUUAUAUUUAUUUAUAUUUGCUUGAUCCAUUUAUUUUGAUUGUAAGAUUAAAUUACCUUAGGGAUAACAGCGUAA
rnacentral:rRNA from 1 species